AUCUUAUUAGUUUAAAUAAAAUGUUAAAUUGUGGUUUUAAUGAUAUAAAAUAUAUAAGAUA
rnacentral:tRNA from 1 species